rnacentral:lncRNA from 1 species
UAAAAUGGAAUUGUCUCAGUGGCUCAUCAUUCUGUAGAAAAUAACUUCAAGAAACAGAUACAGAAAAAUAAAUCUACAGGACCUACUAAUUGCAGUAGAACUGACAAGAGAGAAGAAAACAUCAAACCUCCUCAGAAAGAAAGGCCAAACAGAAACAUUUGACCUUGGGAUUGUGUCCAAUCUAUAUAUUUAGAAUGCUCAGCUUUCCUUCCAAGAGGAAAUGUUUCUGCUUAGAGGAAAUGGCUAAGUAACAAGAUCAGUCUCCAGUCCAUGUUCCUGCAGAAGUUAAACAAAAUAGGAGCCUGGAUCAGAGGUGAGGAAUAUGAUUAUUGCUCACUUUAUCCCAGGAGGGUACCUUGAAACUAGAGGUCUCUGUAACUUCAUCAAAAAGAGGCUGCAGGCUGAAUGUCAGUAGAGUCUACAUGUCCCACUACCCUCUUCAAUAAAGAGUGCAUAUGAGAGGUUCUCAAAGGG